UAUCUCGCCGACCCGGGAGAGAUGAGAAGCCUCGACCAGGGUUCGACCACUGGCGCAGCCAGUGGGACAGUCUGCGAGCCCUGCGAGCCCUGCGAGCUGACUGCCCGCAGGGUGAGGCCCAACGGGCCGAAUCAAUCCCUCCCUCACCGCCA
rnacentral:sRNA from 1 species